CCUUCGGGUGUAACUUGCCUUUCCGGGCCUUUCCCUUCGGUGGGGAACGGGAAUUCCCGGGCCGCUUAAGGUUUCCUGCGAAGCAUUGUGCCGUGGGUAUUUCCGUUCGCCGAUCUCUCUUACUCCGGUGCUCUAAACCGAGUGUCGAGGUAGGCCCACACCUUUCCUUUGAACAAAUUAGAGUCCUUAAAGCAGGCUGAAAUAUCUGCCUGAAUAGUGGUGCAUGGAAUGAUAAAACAGGACCUCGGUUCAAUUUUGUUGGUUUUAGGAAUAUGAGGUAAUGAUCAAUGUGGACUGGCGGGGGCAUUCGUAUUGCGACGUUAGAGGUGAAAUUCUUGGAUCGUCGCAAGACGCACUAGAGCGAAAGCAUUUGCCAAGUAUGUCUUAAUUGAUCAAGAACGAAAGUUAGAGGUUCGAAGGCGAUCAGAUACCGCCCUAGUUCUAACCAUAAACGAUGCCAGCCAGCAAA
rnacentral:rRNA from 1 species